GCCGUUGAAUUAAUUUAAUUCAUUUUGCACAUUUCACAAUUUGGGAGCUUUUCCUCCACCUAUAUCUAACCCCACUUCCCUCCAACCCUUACCAAAAGAGGCAGGGAGGAAGUGGGAGAAAAAUGAUGAACUACUCAAAUCAUUAUUGAAGUUCUCGCCAUAGUAGACAUUCUCAGCUCUUGGUCAAGUCUGACAGUGAAGGUGUGCAACUCAUCCGACCAUGAACUAAGAUCAGAACACUAAUAUUCCAGAGUGAUAGAGGUGUCUUUUUUUUAAACUUAAAAACUGAUCUGUAUAUAACAGUCUUAACCACUUUACUAUGGUGGUUCUUCUUCAUCCGAUAUCAAAUAGUGUCCAACUGCCACACUGGAUUUCAAGGAGCAGCAUCUAUUUUUCUUUGAAAGGCUUCUGAUGCGUUUUCGUCACUGAAGAUAAUCAUUGAUGGGCUAAGACAUGAUGUAUCAAACUGGUAAAUGUAGUUAACUGGAGAACUUUUUGCACACACUUGGGAGCUCAAUUAAGAAUUAAAACUGACGCUUCAAAGAUCAAAAUUUAUGGAGAAAUAUUGACACAAGCACCUUUUUGCAAACUCAAAAUAGAACUGCAUGUUUCCAUCCAUUUAACUAUCUUAGUUAGGGAAUAUUUCUUGUAUACAUGGUGUCAAGCUUUUUUCAUUGAUAGACAUGCUAAUAGUAUAGACAUGUGGAUUGGGCGCAAUGAAGGUUGUUGAAAGUUGUAAUUUGCAAUUAUGUUUAGGAUGGGAAAUCAAAUAGCACAACUCUGGAUGCUGCUUCAAUUCCUCUCUCAACCGCACCGAGUGUCAGAGUAGCAAAAAUUAUACCUAAUCAAGCAAAUUAGCGAAAAUGUCCCAGUUAUGACGGGCGAAGAUCAACGGCCUAUUCUUGAGGCAGAAGGAAGAGGAAAAACCUAAAAAGGAAUAUUCUUUCGUGGAAGAGUAAGAAGAAUAUGAAGACUUUGCCCAAGGAUAGAGGAUCUACAACACCAGGCUGGACAGGGGUUGGGUUUGAUGUAGAUGGUAGAAGCUAGAAACACCAUUUCUGAUGCUUUUCUGAGCAGAACCAAUGAGAUUACUUCUGCAAUAUUUGGUUGACAUUUUCCGUUCCUGUCCCUUUAAUUUUUGAAAGGUCGAUACAGAAAAUGCCAUCUCGCUUUUCAGACUGCACAUCGCUGGUUGACUAUCAACAAUAUUCUCCCAUCAGUCAAGCAAUGUUUCAACAAUGUUAUAAUUAUCUUUUCUUUCUUUUCAAUGUUACCCAUCAUUUUCUGCCGGAGGAGUGAGCUGAAAUCUAUAGAGACCCCUCCCACAACCCAUCAUUUUCUUUCUUUCUUUCUUUCUUUCUUUCUUUCUUUUUGGCUUUAUCUUUGCUAUUGAGGAUUGGCUAUAGUCCUUUCUCAGAUGAGUCUAUCAACUAUCAAUACAUGUGGUGUUAAAAGCUGGGGGCAGGGUGCAAGGGUUAGUGUUUUUCCAUGAGAUGCUUCUUUGAAGCUAAACUAAUCUGAUUCUGAUUAGUGAUUACAAAUUUCAACUAUUUAUCCUCAAGAAAGAAAGAAAAGACAGAAAGUGAAGGGUUGAAUUGGCGAAUUGGCAUUUUAUCACCGACUUGGGGCGGAGUAAUCAUUUCCAGGUUCUGAAACUUUAGUUUCUUUUGAAUGUACUUUGUAAUCAUUUAGUUGUUUGACACUGAAUAUACAGUUUCCAAAUGCUUCUUUCACUUUUUUCACUUAGCUUUACCGCUAUCCAGGUUUGAAUGCCCUCUAAAGGUUCCAUAAUUUCUUGCCAUCUUGAAUCCACUCUUUGAAUAUCCAUUUGUAAUCAUGUGUCCACGUAAUGCAUUAUUGACAUUUCCAUGUUCAAACAGUUGUUUUUUUAAAAUAUUAUUACAAUUUUCUUCCAUAUAUGCCCUCAGACAAUCCAAAGGCAGUUGCAAAUUGAAAAAUAUGAGGAAUUAUCAGGAACCCAACUGUACUAGAAAAUGCUCCAUCAAUGCACCGCAUUGUCGUGUCCUUACUUUAGAAUUUAGAUUGAUCCCACCUUGCAUAUGUUUGUACUAUGCAGGGCUCGUUCAUGUUCAGUUGUUCAUAUGUUCGUCACGAUGUGUAAUUCCUUGUUAUGCCCUUCUUAUUCUCCUUUUAGCAUCUUUGUACUGAUGGGAUAUAAAGAUUGAAGAAACACUUUUUUUUUUCCUUUUUCAA